rnacentral:rRNA from 1 species
GAUGAACGCUGGCGGCGUGCUUAACACAUGCAAGUCGAACGGAAAGGCCGAAGCUUGCUUCGGUACUCGAGUGGCGAACGGGUGAGUAACACGUGGGUGAUCUGCCCUGUACUUCGGGAUAAGUUUGGGAAACUGGGUCUAAUACCGGAUAUGACGAUCUCUUGGAUGGGGUUGUGGAAAGCUUUUGCGGUAUGGGAUGAGCUCGCGGCCUAUCAGCUUGUUGGUGGGGUAAUGGCCUACCAAGGCGUCGACGGGUAGCCGGCCUGAGAGGGUGUACGGCCACAUUGGGACUGAGAUACGGCCCAGACUCCUACGGGAGGCAGCAGUGGGGAAUAUUGCACAAUGGGCGCAAGCCUGAUGCAGCGACGCCGCGUGGGGGAUGACGGCCUUCGGGUUGUAAACUCCUUUCGCAAUCGACGAAGCCUUUUGGUGACGGUAGGUUGAGAAGAAGCACCGGCUAACUACGUG